AGACGGAGCCUCUGUCUGUCACCAGGCAGGAGUGCAGUGGUGAGAUCUCGGCUCACUGCAAUCUCCGCCUCUUGGGUUCAAGCGAUUCUUCUGCCUCAGCCUCCCGAGUAGCUGGGACUACAGACACGUGCCACCAUGCCCAGCUAAUUUUUGUAUUUUUAGUGGAGAGAAGGUUUCACCGUGUUGGCCAGGAUGGUCUCGAUCUCUUGACCUCGUGAUACGUCUGUAAUCUCAGCAUUUUGGGAGGCUGAGGCAUGCGGAUCACCCGAGGUCAGGUUGCCCCGGCUGGAGUGCAGUGGUGCGAUCUCGGCUCACUGCAACCUCCGCCUCCUGGGUUCAAGCGGUUCUCCUGCCUCAGCCUCCUGAGUAGCUGGGAUUACAGGCACACACUGCCACGCCUGGCUAAUUUUUUGUAUUUUAGUAGAGACAGGGUUUCACCGUCUUGAACUCUUGAGCUCAGACAAUCUGUCCGCCUGGGCCUCCCAAAGUGUUGGAAUUACAGGGGUGGACCACCGCGCCUGUAAUUUUGGGUUCACAGCAAAAUUGAGCAGAAGGUACAGAGAUUAUUUCCCAUAUGCCCUUUGUCCUUCUGCAUGUAUAGCCUCCCCUGUUAUCAACAUCCACCCCAUUAGAGUAGUGCUUUUGUUAUAAUCUACAUUGGCAUAUCAUAAUCACCCAAAGUCCAUAGUUUACAAUAGGGUGCACUCUUGGUGUUGUACAUUAUGUGGUUUUGGACAAAUUUAUAAUGACAUAUAUCCACCAUUAUAGUAUCAUACAAAAUACCACAAUGCUCUGAACAUCCUCUGGGUUCUGCCUAGUCAUCCCUCCCUCCCCUACCAACCCGUGGCAACCACUGAUCUUUUAUUGUCUCUGUAGUUUUGCCUUUUCCAGAAUGUCAUACAGUUGAAAUCAUACAAUACGUGGCCUUUUCAGAUUGGCUUCUUUCACAAGUACUCUGCAUUUAAGGUUCUUCCAUGUUAAGCAUAGCUUGAUCGCUCUUUUUUUUAGUGCUGAAUAAUAUUCCAUUUUCUAGGUUUACCACAGUUGAUUUAUCCAUUCACCUACUGAAGGAUAUCUUGGUUUCUUCCAAGUUUUGGCAAUUAUGAAAAAAGCUGGUAUAAACGUGUGUGUGCAGGUUUUUGUGUGGAUAUAAUUUUUCAACUAUGGGUAAAUACCAAGGUGCAUGAUUGCUGGAUUGUAUGGUAAAACUAUGUUUAGUUGUAGAAGAAACUGCCAAACUGUCUUCCAAUGUGAUUGUGUUGAUUUUGUAUUCCUACCAGCAAUGAAUGAGAGUUCUUGUGACUCCACGUUUUUGCCAUCAUUUGGUGUUGUUAGUGUUCUGCAUUUUGGUCAUUCUAAUAGGUGUGCGGUGGUAUCUCGUUGUUUUAAUUUGCAUUUUCCCAAUAAUAUAUGAUGUGGAGCACGUUUUCAUGUGAUUAUUUGCCACCCUUAUAUCUUUGUUGGUGAGGUGUCUGUUAAGGUCUUUGGCCCAUUUUAAAAUCUGAUCACUUUCUUAUUGUUGAGUGUUUUUGUUUGUUUGCUUGUUUUUGAGACAGAGUCUCACUCCGUCACCAGGCUGAUCUUGGCUCACUGCAACCGCCAUUUCCCGGGUUCAAGCGAUUCUCCUCCCUCAGCCUCCCAAGUAGCUGAAACUACAAGUGCUCGUCACCAUGCCCAGCUAAUUUUUGUAUUUUUAGUAGAGACGGGGUUUCACCAUGUUGGCCAGGAUGGUCUUGAUCUCUUGACCUCGUGAUCUGCCCACCUUGGCCUCCCAAAGGGCUGGGAGCCACCAUGCCCAGCCUAUUGUUGAGUUUUAAGAGUAUUUUGUGUAUUUUGUAUAAUAGUGCUUUAUCCAAUAUGUCUUUUGCAAAUAUCUUCUCCUAAUUUGUUGCUUGUCUUUUCAUUUUCUUGACAGUUUCUUUAUGGAGCAGAAAUUUUGAAAGUUCAAAGAUCAGUUGAUUAUAUUUAUGAUAAGUCUACUUUUCUUCCACGUAACAACCACAGGAUAGAUGACAUUCAUUUUCUAAGAAACAAAAUCUUGGCAGUUAGAUCCGUGGGGUAAAGAAUAUAGAUACUAAUGUAAGUUAACACCUCAAGUUCAUGUCCUUGGUUUGGAUGCUUUGUUCAGGAGUGUUUAGUGGUAUUUCAAAGGAAUCAAUAUCUAUAACAAAUUAAAAUAACCAGGAAUGGACCAGUGAUGGAAAUGUGUUCCGAAAAUAUGUUUAAUAUAAUUUGGCACAACUGAAGUGAUAAAAAUAUAGUAGUUAGACCAUUUAUAUUCACAAUUAUUUAACAUUGUAUCUUAUUUUCUACCUCAAAUGAUUUAAUCUUUUCCAUAUUGGUAUGGUCCUGGCCGAUAACUCUUUGUGUGGCAGCCUGAGAGAAUAUGGAAGACACUGUCAGUGUUGGAAGAUGGUGGUUUUAUCACUUUUCAUUGCACUGUCUUUAAAACAUGGGCAAAUUGACUAAAAGAAGACUACAGAAGAAAUAAUGGUGAUUGUGAAUUUGAAUGAAAACCAUGUAGCUGGUCUUAUUAUUCUCUAAUCAUGAAGACCAUUAUUGUUAUUUGUGGACUAAGGAGCAGAAAGACUGAUAGUGGACAUAGGCCAGCUGAUUUAAUAAUUUAAGAAAGAACUGUUAUCCUGAGUAAGGAGCAUAGAGACAAAUAUAAAAUGAACGCACUCUACCUGAUUUAAUUAUAGUCUUCUGGUGAAGAUCUUGCUGUUAUCUCUGUGAAUCAGGAGAGAAGAGAUUGAUAAGGAAUAGACGAGAUUGGAUUUGGUCAUUUCCCCAAGGUGAAGAGCAUGGCGAUUUCUUCUGUGGUAAGGAGCAAUAAUGAAGACCAUGGUUGAUUUAAUCAGUCUCUGCUGAUGAAGAUCUUGGCUGUUACCUUUGUGUAAUGAAUGCGCAAUGAUUCAAUUAUUCUCCAGCGAGGAAGAUCAUGGUUGUUGUCUGUUUGAGUAAUGAGUGUAGAAACCUAUAAUGGAGGCGUGAUGGCUGAUGCAAUCAUUUUCCACUGAUGAAGGUUUUGAUGGCCACCUGUAAUGAACAGCCCCAUCUGAUUUAAUCACUGUGCAAUGACCGUGAACUGUACAGUUACCUCCGUGUGUCACAGGAAGACUCUUUUGACUUAAGCACCCUUCCAUGGUCAUGAGGUUUCUGGUUGCCUCUGUGUGUUAGAAGCUUGGAGACCAAUGCCUUCUGCUGUGAUCGCGUUCUCCACAGUUGCCUCUGGGUAGGAGCCUGGACACUAAUAGAAGUUGGAUGCACUUGAGCCGACCUAAGCAUUCAUGGUCAUGAGAUUUGUGGUUGCCACUGUUGGUUAGGAGCAUAGAGAUCAGUAAUGGACACACCUGGGCUGGCAGAACAUCUUGCCUUGAUCUGGAGCCCCAUGUCUGCCCCUCUGUAGAGGUGCACAUGGGCCAAUGAUGGAUGCAAUGAGCUGAUCAUUUUGCUGUGAUCAAGGCUAUGUUGCCUCUGUGUUAGGCCAAUGGUUGAUGUUCAUGGGUGAUUGAUCAUCCUGUAGCGACGGUGGUAUUGACUGUUCCCCAGAGGACAAGGAGUGUGUUCUUAUGUGGAGGCUGUCUGCAGUAGGAGCAUGGAGACCAACAAUGGAUGCUCUUAAACUGAUUUAAGCACGCUUCCAUGGUCAGAAGCCUUAUGGUUGCCACAGGGUAUUAGGAGCAUGGAGACCAAUAAUGGAUGUCCUUGUUCUGAUUUGAGGAUGCCUCCAAGGUCACAUACUCUGUUUGCACCACGCUUAGGAAGGAGCGUGAAGACCAAGGGGAGUAAUAGUCAAAGUCCUUACCUUUGUUUGGGUGGUUUGUUUAAGAGUAAUCAACGUAUUAUUUAAAAGUGUGAAAUACAGUCAAAGAUGGCCAAUGUUAUUCCAGUGAUAUGGGAGUGACAUGAAGUAUUAUAUUGAUGAUGCAUAUAUAAAAAACAGGAUAGUUAAUGAAACACCCAAUGUUUGAGUGAUUCUGUAUACUGAUAGGGAAUAUCAAGAGUGUUACUGGGUUUUGUGAAUCACGGGCCUUGAAAGUAUUAUUAAUGAAUAAAUGACAUAAUCAAUAGACAAGGUAGAAAUGAAUAGCAAAAAAAAAGAAGAUCAAUGAUGACUACUGUUAGUGUAUGAGUUACACAUGAUGAAUACAUGUCUGAAACUCUGAGGUCCAUCACAAAAGAAAUCUGGCCCAUUCCUUCUGAUUCAGGUGAUCCUAUGAAUAUACAAUGUGUUUGCUUUUGGUCUUUGGGUUUGUUCACUUCACUGUAUUAUUAUAAUUGGAUCAAUGAAAUAAUUUAUACGUAUACAUGUACGUAUAUGAAGGGGAUGAAGUAUUGUCCAAUUAUAAAAUAAGUGGUGAGGCAAGAUGUAUUAUUAUUAUUAUAUUAAAGCAUUAUAUUAAAGCUUUAAUAUAUUAAAUAAAAAUCUAAUAUUAAUAUAUAAUUAAUGCAAUAUUUAAUAUAUAUUAAAUAUGAUAACAUAUUAAAAUAUUAUAUUAAAGCAUUGAAGUCCUAAGGGAAAUAAAUGGUACCCCACUGUAACGUCUUUGACUAAGGAUGAUACAGGUGGUAGUUAUAGAUAAUGGUCAACCUCUGGGUCAAGGAAAGUUGCACAAAGUGUUCAUUUUCUUAAGAGAAAAUGAAAUAAUUAUCCUUCAGAUAGUGAUUUCUCAAAUGUUUUCCUAAAGGGAAGAUGAUAAACACAGAUCAUGGAGGACUGUUUUAUCUGUUUGUGAUCUGCCGUCCUCUGUGAGCCUCAGGAUGGAUGUUUGCCAGCCGAUUCCAUGGUUACAAGCUCUAUAGCUGCAUCUAUGUGUUAGGAGCAUGAAGACCAAUAAUGGAUGCACUGAGCUGAUUAUGAAUUUAGCCCUGAUGAAGACUUGUGUUGCUGUCAUGAUAUGAAAGAUUCCAGUAAUGAACGCACUUGAGUUGAUUCAAGCACGCUUCCAUGGUCAUGAGCUCUGUGGUUGCAUCUGUGUGUUAGGAGCAUGCAGACCAAUAGUGAUAAUCUCGAGGUGAUUUAUGCAUUCUUCCAUGGCCACCAGCCUUAUGAUUGCAUCUGUGCGUCACAGCUUAGAGAUCAAUAAUGGAUGCAACAAGCUCUUUGAAUCAUUCUGUUGGGAUCAAGAUUGUUGUGUUCCCUCUGUUUGGAAAGAGACCAAGAAUGGAUACGCUCAGGUGAUUUAAGCAGUCUUCCAUGGCCACGAGCUCUGUGGUUGCCUCUGUAUAUUAAGAGCACAGAGAUUAAAAAUGGGUGCACUUGAGCCGAUUGAAACAUUCCUCCUUGCAUCUUUCUUCUGUGAUUGCAUCUAUUUGUUAGUAGCAUAGAGACCAAUAAUAGAUGGCUUGUGCUGAUGGAAGGAUUCCUCCCUGGUGACAUGCUGUGUCUGCCUCUUGAUUGGGAGCACGCAGACCUACAAUGAUGCACUUUUUAUGAUUUGAGAAUUCCUUCAUGGUCACGUGCUCUGUUUUUAUCAUGGUUGGGAGCCUGCAGAGCAAUAAGGGACAUGCCUUUGCUGAUUUGAGGAUUCCUCUGAGGUUGGGAGCUAAGUUUGCAUCAUGCUUAGAAAGGAGUGUGCAGACCUGUAAUGAUUGCACUUUGCUGAUUGAAGGAUUCCUUCAAGUCCAUGUGCUCCACUUGCACCAUUUUUAGGAUGGAGCCUGGAGACCUAUAAUGAACAACUUGUGCUGUGUUAAGGAUUCCUCCAUGAUCACGCGCCCCAUUUGUACACCAUGCUUGGGAAGGUGCAUGCAGACCAAUGAUGGACGUACUUGUGAUGAUUUAAAGAUGCCUCCAAGGUCACGUGCUCUGUUUGCACCAUGCUUAGGAAGGAGCGUACAGACCAAAAAUGGAUGAAUUGUGCACCUUGAAAAGUUCUUCCAUGGUCACCUGAGGCAUCUGCGUCAUGAUUAGGCUCCGGAUGACUAAUAAUGGACGUACUUGUUCUGAUUUGAGGACUUCUUCAUGGUCACAUGUUCUGUUUGCACCAUGCUUAGGAAGGAGCAUGUGUACCAAUAAUGGAAGCACAGAAGCUGGUUUUAAUAGUUAAGAGCUGUAUGGUCCAUCUCUGUGCUAGAAGCUGGAGACCAAUAACAGUCACUCCCUGCACUGAUUCUGCCAUGACCACUUGCUCUAUGGUUGUUUUAAGGAACCUACAGACAAAUAAUAUUAGAGCACAG
rnacentral:lncRNA from 1 species